GGGCCCGUAGCUCAGCAAGGAUAGAGCGGCGGGUCGAGGACCCGUAGGUCGGGGGUUCGAGUCCCCUCGGGCCCACCA
rnacentral:tRNA from 1 species